rfam:Nomascus leucogenys chromosome 14, whole genome shotgun sequence.
AUCCUUUUAUGAUUCAUAAGCAUGAUGACUCAGUUUUCACACUCCUGUGUGAGAUGUGCCUCCGUCUAACCUUAUUACAACAUUGACACCUUACUCAUUUGAUG